rnacentral:rRNA from 1 species
UACGAAGGGGGCUAGCGUUGCUCGGAAUCACUGGGCGUAAAGCGCACGUAGGCGGCUUUCUAAGUCAGGGGUGAAAUCCUGGAGCUCAACUCCAGAACUGCCUUUGAUACUGGAGAGCUUGAGUCCGGAAGAGGUGAGUGGAACUCCGAGUGUAGAGGUGAAAUUCGUAGAUAUUCGGAAGAACACCAGUGGCGAAGGCGGCUCACUGGUCCGGUACUGACGCUGAGGUGCGAAAGCGUGGUGAGCAAACAGG